CCAACAGGGUUGAUCAAUUAAAAAAUGCCAAUAAAUGGAGAAGUUAAUGUGCUUACUAUAUAAGUACCUGUCUAAUGUAUAUGAAAGCAUGUUUGUGUUGCAUGUGAGUUUGUCUUGAGAGGAGGGG